rnacentral:rRNA from 1 species
ACUCCUACGGGAGGCAGCAGUGGGGAAUAUUGCACAAUGGGCGCAAGCCUGAUGCAGCCAUGCCGCGUGUGUGAAGAAGGCCUUGGGUUGUAAAGCACUUUCAGUCGUGAGGAAGGUAGUGUAGUUAAUAGCUGCAUUAUUUGACGUUAGCGACAGAAGAAGCACCGGCUAACUCCGUGCCAGCAGCCGCGGUAAUACGGAGGGUGCGAGCGUUAAUCGGAAUUACUGGGCGUAAAGCGCAUGCAGGUGGUUUGUUAAGUCAGAUGUGAAAGCCCGGGGCUCAACCUCGGAAUAGCAUUUGAAACUGGCAGACUAGAGUACUGGUAGAGGGGGUAGAAUUUCAGGUGUAGCGGUGAAAUGCGUAGAGAUCUGAAGGAAUACCGGUGGCGAAGGCGGCCCCUGGACAGAUACUGACACUCAGAUGCGAAAGCGUGGGAGCAAACAGGAUUAGAUACCCCUGGUAGACUGUCA